CCCAAACUUGGAGCCCGCGCCCGGUGGGCUGUAACUCCUCCUUCGUCUACUUUUGGGCCAACUAAAAGCUCGUCACCCUCAUCUGAAAAGUCCACUCAUGACCCCCGAUCGCUGCUGCCUUUUGUCAUGUCCAUUUGGACAGGACGUGCGACAGCUAGCUGCACUCUUAAAUGCAAGACGAGACGACGAACACACCAGUCUGGUUUCCUCCUGUGAUUUGGCGCCGUCUUCUGAGUCAACUGAAAAGCAAAGUAAAAGAAUGAAAGUGGCUGAGCCGGAACAGAAACCCCAAUGCUGGUCGGACCGGUUUACAGAGUGAUACCGGCCUCCGGACUUCCUCAAAUCGGGAACCAGACGGGUGCCGUCUUCCAGAGUCUUGAGGAAUUCCACCUGGAACUCCACCAUUUCCGGAAGAUUUCCAAAGAGAACAUCCAGCUGAGGCCACAAAAGAAGGGAGCUCGCCGAUGACCUUGCGCAGCUUGUCGGCGUCCGAGAGCUGCCGGAGCGCCGGCGGGAACGGCGAGUCCGGGCUGGGCGAGGACGCGCAUUCCGAAGGAUUCAUGUCAUGGAGGCUGCGGCAGAAGGCCGACACCUGCUCCGUGUUCUGAGCAGAAAAGGAAAACAAUGAUCAAGUGUGCGGCAGCUCACCCACGCGCCAACUUCCAGAGCACACCCAUUUGGGACUGAAUAUAGAAAGAAAGAAAUAAAAAAGAUAUCUAUACGUGUGUGUGUGUGUCAUAACAACAACUCUGACAUUGUUUUCCUCCUACGUAUGCCGCUGCCACCCUAAGUGACUCAUCUCAUCUCACGCCACCAUCCAAAUAAUGCACAUGACAUACAGGAGGAGGGUUGCCAUGGAGACCGGCCCUGAUGUGCACUACACUGUCAUUUGGCAGAGAAAGGGGCAAAUCUAGGCAAUCCAUCACUUGCGUCACUUUGUUCAGCUUCCGAAUGACUGACAAAUCUCAAGACAUUUUUCGAAAGUUUGUGGUUUACAAAUUCCCCAAGGUUUGGCCUCAGAAGUAUCCCCCCCUCCAAAAGGAAGUAGGGCUUCAAAUUUGCCUCGGAAGCCAGAGCAGAAUCAUUUACAAGAUGAAGAAAUAGGGCUUUGUCAAUUUGACACUGCAGAGGCGUGAAUAAAGUGACCCAAAAAGCAACGCUGUAUCCUCUCUCUCUCUCUCUCUCUCUCUCUCGCUCGCUCGCUCUCUUCCAGGUGCAGCACACAUGCAUCAUCAACAUCAUCAACAUCAGCGGCGGCGACUCCCGUCCUGCCAAACGUGCGGCAAGAAAAGGAGAAACAGAAGACAAACUUGUUUGGACCUCACCAGAUGGAGCAUGUCAAAAAGCGAGUCGCAGGAGCGCUUCCUGGGCUGACUCCACUUGAGAGACGACAUGGCCACAAACACGCACCCAGACUUUGUCUUUUAAUCGAGCUUCAUUUGGCGCCUGAGCGCGCCGCGCACAACGCCAUCUCUUCUCGAAAAAGCCAAAGCCAGCUGAAGGACGAGCCCGGGAAGACGCCGGCCGGCCGGCCGGGCCGCCUCCUCACCAGCCUUCCACCCACGUCUGCUACGCUACGCUUCUGCCCGCCUCUUCGUUGUGUGCUAAUGCAAGGGAAAAGAGGGAGGAAGGGACUCAUCUCUGUGGCUUGGUGGGGGCCUUCUGGAGUGGGAGCUGGUGCAAGUGAGCAGAGUAUGUGUGUGUGUGUGGAGGGAUUCUGCAACUAAUUCAUCAAAAGGGGCUUUUUAGGUAGUAGUUUAGAUCCUCUUCUGAUUAGGCUUUCCAAUUCAAGGGGAAGGCUUCUAAUUAGAGUUGCACGUUAAAGGCUUGGUUGAUAGUUUCAAAUGAGCCAAAGUUAGAAAUUCAAAUGAAGCUUUUCAUCUUGGUUAGGUUUUAUUUUGAUGCAAUAGUGAGCUGGUUUUUAGGGAGGCUCGCCCCGGCCGGCCAUGGCCUGUCCUGUCCUCUCGAGAGAAAAUGUCAGUGUGGGUGAAAAAGCACCAAAUGUUGCGUCCAGGCUGGCCGGGAGAUAGCGAGGUGCCACUUAGCACUCGCCGUCGUGCCAGAACAAAAAAACUGCUAAAUGUCCUUCUUAAGUUUGUCUCCCUCCCUCCCUCCCUCCGCUUGUUUUCCAAUCCCAGCCGAGCAAAUGUGAAGACAACUGGAAGGCCAACAAGCUCGUGGUUAUGCAAGGCAACAUUUUUUUCCCCUGUUGAUGGAAUAAAACUCAAAGUUGUGGAGCUGUCAUUUUUUAACCUUUUUCCUAAACUUAUUAUUGCCAUGCUACUAUUUUAUUGUCAACCCAAAUAUUCAUGAUAGCAAUGUUUGAGAGCGUUUUCUUACCUGGCCGCACUCGUCCAAGUGGCCAAAGCACUCGGCGUCGUCAUCCAAGCUGUCUCCCGAACUUUCCAGCAGCAGCCCGGCGCUGUCGUCCAGGAUCUCCUCUGCCGACACACGGUGACCAAAUCAGGGUUCGCUUCUCGGGUUAGGUUUUCCGAUCUACGGUCCACUUGCACGGGGAAGCACACAUGAGCAACGUGCGCCACCCGCAGGCCUGAAGUGGAACAUCCUUGGCCGACUUGACAGAUGUUGAGGACCGUUUGGUGUUUUGUCUGCGACCCGGUCACCUUGGCUCUGGGAAAAGAUGUCUGUGUAGGGGUCGGCGUCAGAGCGGCGCGGCGGCAGGAAGCAGAGCUGGCCGCGGCCCAGCGGCGGCAGCGCGCUGACGGUCAACGCCAGCGACGAGAGCGAGAAGGCCGCCUUCAUGUCGGAGAAGUCCAGGCUGUGGGCCUCCUUCCCGUUCAGCUCCAGGAUCUCAUCCCCCGCGUUCAGACCUGGCCGAGAAUACGAGAAGCAACGGCUGUCAUCGCUCAACGCAAUGAGUGACCAUCGACAUGAAUAUCAUUUAUGAAAUCCAAAGGAUUCGAUGAAAAAUAUGGUAACCAGCACCAACAAAACGCAGGUGACUUGGACUAGCCGCAUAACGAAAUAUUGUAAGGCUUU